GCAAGGAGCACAGAUGAGGAGAACCCCCAGGUGGCAGGCACUGUUGGCUCUAGGGGAUCAUGAGGAGCCCAGGUAGGGUGUGAAAGCUUACGAUGGGUUGAUCUGGACGUAGCCCCAGAAGUCAAGGAACAUCUGUACUCUUGGAAGUCCCUCUCACUGGAGACUUCAGGAAAAUAGCAAACAAUUGAUUACAUAGUUCUAAACAUGCUAUCAUUAUUGAUUAAAUUAAAUGCAGUACAGUAUGCUUUUCUACUUCAAAGA